CAAAUUGAUGCAAAUUGAGGCUAGCUCCAAUACGGGCAGGCCCCGAAUUGCCUUCAAAACGGGGUGUGUCGAUUGCGUGACGAUGUUAUUAAGCAAAAGGGUGAUACCCAUUAUUGACAGUGGUAAGAUGGUGAUUGAAAUAAGCGACUCGGUGGUGGUGGUGGUGAUGGUGUAAUAGUAGUUAACAAUAAGCUGCAAAAUGAAUAAAAGAGAUCGAAUCGUGUAAAGAAGGGCAUUUCAACAUCUGGAUAAUCAACGGAGACUAUAGCACUCUGGAGAUAGAAUCUUUUUACCUCGACGCCAAGCUCCUCUCUGCUCCUCUGAAACGCCCACAACACCUCGCCCCCACCACACAGGAACACAGAGAAAGCCUGAGAAGCCGCACCUCACUCUUCCACAAUGAGCUACAGCAUGAAGAAUUUGCGAGAACCCAAAUAGAGAGAGAAAGAGAUCUGCCUUCUCCCUCUCUCUAUGUAUAAAUAUUAGUAAAGCUUUUGGCUUUGGCUACCUGUGGCACUUGCCGUGUCUGGGAGUUGUGGUGAAAUAGAAGAUUUUUGAAGAUAAAAAUUAUUAAAACCAAAAAAACCAAUUGGGUUUGUACUGGCAUCCAGUUUUAUGGUAUUAUGAUCUCACUGCUAUGUUUGCUGCUAUAUAUACAGAGGCAGCCAUUACAGUGAAAUGCAUCUAUGUGUGUAGUUUUUAGAUAAAGAAAGAGAAUAUUAUUCAGCAAUCAUAGGAAUAUUAUUCACACCUGCGUAGGUGAUGAGAAUAGAGAUCUUGAUGGGGAUCUCGAAUUUUUUGCAAACCAAACAAUAUUCAGAUCAUUAUACCUUCUUUUGUAAGGUGUAAAAGUUUAGCAGCAUUGAAUUAAAAAAAAAAGCAUUAUUUAACUCGUUAAAACUG
rnacentral:misc_RNA from 1 species